UACGUAGGUGGCAAGCGUUGUCCGGAAUUACUGGGUGUAAAGGGAGCGCAGGCGGGAAGCCAAGUCAGCUGUGAAAACUACGGGCUUAACUUGUAGACUGCAGUUGAAACUGGUUUUCUUGAGUGAAGUAGAGGUUGGCGGAAUUCCGAGUGUAGCGGUGAAAUGCGUAGAUAUUCGGAGGAACACCGGUGGCGAAGGCGGCCAACUGGGCUUUAACUGACGCUGAGGCUCGAAAGUGUGGGAGCAAACAGG
rnacentral:rRNA from 1 species